rnacentral:rRNA from 1 species
AGUGAACGCUGGCGGUAGGCCUAACACAUGCAAGUCGAACGGCAGCACAGUAAGAGCUUGCUCUUACGGGUGGCGAGUGGCGGACGGGUGAGGAAUACAUCGGAAUCUACUUUUUCGUGGGGGAUAACGUAGGGAAACUUACGCUAAUACCGCAUACGACCUACGGGUGAAAGCAGGGGAUCUUCGGACCUUGCGCGAUUGAAUGAGCCGAUGUCGGAUUAGCUAGUUGGCGGGGUAAAGGCCCACCAAGGCGACGAUCCGUAGCUGGUCUGAGAGGAUGAUCAGCCACACUGGAACUGAGACACGGUACAGACUCCUACGGGAGGCAGCAGUGGGGAAUAUUGGACAAUGGGCGCAAGCCUGAUCCAGCCAUACCGCGUGGGUGAAGAAGGCCUUCGGGUUGUAAAGCCCUUUUGUUGGGAAAGAAAAGCAGCAGGUUAAUACCCCGCUGUUCUGACGGUACCCAAAGAAUAAGCACCGGCUAGCUUCGUG